UCUCUGCCCCCCCCUCCUUUUCCUCCCUCAAUGGUUCCUCCCAGCCCGACGUCACUUCCGCCCUCCCCCGGCCGGAAGCGGCGACCCCGCGGCGCGCGGGGGGCGGGGCCUCUUUGCGGCGCGGGCGGCGGCCAUGGCGGAGCCGCGGGUUCUGGUGAUCGAUGGCCGCGGGCACCUCCUGGGGCGGCUGGCGGCGAUCGUGGCCAAGCAGGUGCUGCUCGGGCGCCGCGUGGUCGUGGUGCGCUGCGAGGGCAUCAACAUCUCCGGGAACUUCUACAGGAACAAACGUGAGUGCGGGAACGGCACUUCGGGGGGAU